UACGUAGGGGGCAAGCGUUGUCCGGAUUUAUUGGGCGUAAAGAGCGUGUAGGCGGCCAUACAGGUCCGUUGUGAAAACUGGAGGCUUAACCUCCAGACGUCGAUGGAAACCGUAUGGCUAGAGUCCGGAAGAGGAGAGUGGAAUUCCUGGUGUAGCGGUGAAAUGCGUAGAUAUCUGGAGGAACACCGGUGGCGAAGGCGACAUCCUGGACCGGUAUUGACGCUGAGGCGCGAAAGCCAGGGGAGCAAACGGG
rnacentral:rRNA from 1 species